rnacentral:rRNA from 1 species
CAGGACGAACGCUGGCGGCGUGCCUAACACAUGCAAGUCGAGCGAUGAAGCCCUUCGGGGUGGAUUAGCGGCGGACGGGUGAGUAACACGUGGGUAACCUGCCUCAAAGAGGGGGAUAGCCUCCCGAAAGGGAGAUUAAUACCGCAUAACAUUAUUUCUUCGCAUGAAGAGAUAAUCAAAGGAGUAAUCCGCUUUGAGAUGGACCCGCGGCGCAUUAGCUAGUUGGUGAGGUAAUGGCUCACCAAGGCGACGAUGCGUAGCCGACCUGAGAGGGUGAUCGGCCACAUUGGAACUGAGAUACGGUCCAGACUCCUACGGGAGGCAGCAGUGGGGAAUAUUGCGCAAUGGGGGAAACCCUGACGCAAGCAACGCCGCGUGGGUGAAGAAGGCCUUCGGGUUGUAAAGCUCUGUCUUCUGGGACGAUAAUGACGGUACCAGAGGAGGAAGCCACGGCUAACUACGUGCCAGCAGCUGC